rnacentral:tRNA from 1 species
GCCACUGUGGUUUAACGGUAGAACUCGGGUCUCAUGAGCCCGUAACGGGAGUUCAACUCUCUCCAGUGGCA